AUUGAACGCUGGCGGCAUGCCUUACACAUGCAAGUCGAACGGUAACGCGGGGCAACCUGGCGACGAGUGGCGAACGGGUGAGUAAUGUAUCGGAACGUGCCCAGUUGUGGGGGAUAACUGCUCGAAAGAGCAGCUAAUACCGCAUACGACCUGAGGGUGAACGCGGGGGAUCGCAAGACCUCGCGCAAUUGGAGCGGCCGAUAUCAGAUUAGGUAGUUGGUGGGGUAAAGGCCCACCAAGCCAACGAUCUGUAGCUGGUCUGAGAGGACGACCAGCCACACUGGGACUGAGACCCGGACCAGACUCCUACGGGAGGCAGCAGUGGGGAAUUUUGGACAAUGGACGAAAGUCUGAUCCAGCCAUGCCGCGUGCGGGAAGAAGGCCUUCGGGUUGUAAACCGCUUUUGUCAGGGAAGAAAAGGGCGACUUUAAUACAGUUGCCUCAUGACGGUACCUGAAGAAUAAGCACCGGCUAACUACGUGCCAGCAGCCGCGGUAACAC
rnacentral:rRNA from 1 species